rnacentral:rRNA from 1 species
CACGGGUGAGUAACGCGUAUCCAACCUUCCCAUUACUGUGGGAUAAACCUAGCCGAAAGGCAGACUAAUACCGCAUAGCUUCGAUGACGGCAUCAGAUUUGAAGUAAAGAUUUAUCGGUAAUGGAUGGGGAUGCGUCUGAUUAGCUUGUUGGCGGGGUAACGGCCCACCAAGGCGACGAUCAGUAGGGGUUCUGAGAGGAAGGUCCCCCACAUUGGAACUGAGACACGGUCCAAACUCCUACGGGAGGCAGCAGAA